rnacentral:rRNA from 1 species
CUGUGCAUUUUAAAUGACUUUGCUUGGGUCUUUUCUAUUUUGAAAGGCCCGAGGAUAUAAACUAUAUUAAUUUUUUUGUCUGAAACGUUUUUUUAUUAUUAAAAAUUAAAAAUUUCAACAACGGAUCUCUUGGUUCUCGCAUCGAUGAAGAACGCAGCAAAGCGCGAUAUGUAGUGUGAAUUGCAGAUUUUGUGAAUCAUCGAAUUUUUGAAUGCACAUUGCACUCUCUGGUAUUCCGGAGAGUUUACCUGUUUGAGCGUCAUUUCUUUCUCAUCUCUUGAUGGUUUUGUGUAGUUACCGUGGUAAAACAUGGUACAACAUGAAAGAAAUUGGCAGAGCAUCUUUAGCUGAUUAACAACGUAUUAGGUUUUACCAACUCGUUGGCUUUAUCUGGCAUAAGAAGCGCUCGGCGAUAUCAACUUUUUUUUUAUAAAGUUGACCUCAAAUCAGGCAAGACUACCCGCUGAACUUAAGCAUAUCAAUAAGCGGAGGAAAAGAAACCAACAGGGAUUGCCUUAGUAACGGCGAGUGAAGCGG